rnacentral:rRNA from 1 species
AUUGAACGCUGGCGGCAUGCCUUACACAUGCAAGUCGAACGGCAGCGGACCUUCGGGUGCCGGCGAGUGGCGAACGGGUGAGUAAUAUAUCGGAACGUACCUUUCAGUGGGGGAUAACGUAGCGAAAGUUACGCUAAUACCGCAUAUUCUGUGAGCAGGAAAGCAGGGGAUCGCAAGACCUUGCGCUGAUUGAGCGGCCGAUAUCAGAUUAGCUAGUUGGUGAGGUAAAGGCUCACCAAGGCGACGAUCUGUAGCGGGUCUGAGAGGAUGAUCCGCCACACUGGAACUGAGACACGGUCCAGACUCCUACGGGAGGCAGCAGUGGGGAAUAUUGGACAAUGGGGGCAACCCUGAUCCAGCCAUGCCGCGUGUGUGAAGAAGGCCUUCGGGUUGUAAGCGACUUAAGUACGAGGAGGAA